rnacentral:tRNA from 1 species
GAGGUUGUGACUUAGCGGUAGAGUGCUCGCCUAGCACAUGCGAGGCCCUGGGUUCGAUCCUCAGCACCACA